rnacentral:rRNA from 1 species
UACGUAGGGUGCGAGCGUUGUCCGGAAUUACUGGGCGUAAAGAGCUCGUAGGUGGUUUGUCGCGUUGUUCGUGAAAACUCACAGCUCAACUGUGGGCGUGCGGGCGAUACGGGCAGACUGGAGUACUGCGGGGGAGACGUGGAAUUCCUGGUGUAGCGGUGGAAUGCGCAGAUAUCAGGAGGAACACCGGUGGCGAAGGCGGGUCUCUGGGCAGUAACUGACGCUGAGGAGCGAAAGCGUGGGGAGCGAACAGG